rnacentral:rRNA from 1 species
AACGAACGCUGGCGGCGUGCCUAACACAUGCAAGUCGAACGGGAUUCGGAGCUUGCUCCGAUGAGAGUGGCGCACGGGUGAGUAACGCGUAGAUAAUCUGCCUGAUGAUCUGGGAUAACAGUUCGAAAGGACUGCUAAUACCGGAUAAGCCCACGGAGACCUUGGUCUUUGCGGGAAAAGGGGGGGACCUUCGGGCCUUCCGUCAUCAGAUGAGUCUGCGUACCAUUGGCUAGUUGGUAGGGUAAAGGCCUACCAAGGCGACGAUGGUUAGCUGGUCUGAGAGGAUGGUCAGCCACACUGGAACUGAGACACGGUCCAGACUCCUACGGGAGGCAGCAGUGGGGAAUUUUGCGCAAUGGGGGAAACCCUGACGCAGCAACGCCGCGUGAGUGAUGAAGGCUCUUGGGUCGUAAAGCUCUGACAGAGGGAAAGAAGUGUAUGGUAGUUAAUACCCAUUGUACUUGACGGUACCCUCAAAGGAAGCACCGGCUAACUCCGUGCCAGCCGCCGCAGUAA